GAUGAACGCUGGCGGCGUGCCUAAUACAUGCAAGUCGAGCGAACAGACGAGGAGCUUGCUCCUCUGACGUUAGCGGCGGACGGGUGAGUAACACGUGGAUAACCUACCUAUAAGACUGGGAUAACUUCGGGAAACCGGAGCUAAUACCGGAUAAUAUAUUGAACCGCAUGGUUCAAUAGUGAAAGACGGUUUUGCUGUCACUUAUAGAUGGAUCCGCGCCGCAUUAGCUAGUUGGUAAGGUAACAGCUUACCAAGGCGACGAUGCGUAGCCGACCUGAGAGGGUGAUCGGCCACACUGGAACUGAGACACGGUCCAGACUCCUACGGGAGGCAGCAGUAGGGAAUCUUCCGCAAUGGGCGAAAGCUUGACGGAGCAACGCCGCGUGAGUGAUGAAGGUCUUCGGAUCGUAAAACUCUGUUAUUAGGGAAGAACAAAUGUGUAAGUAACUAUGCACGUCUUGACGGUACCUAAUCAGAAAGCCACGGCUAACUACGUG
rnacentral:rRNA from 1 species